rnacentral:rRNA from 1 species
GAUGAACGCUAGCGGCAGGCCUAACACAUGCAAGUCGAGGGGUAACAGGGUAGCAAUAUCGCUGACAACCGGCGCACGGGUGAGUAACGCGUAUGCAACCUUCCUUUAACUGGGGGAUAGCCCGGAGAAAUUCGGAUUAAUACCCCAUAACAUUGCGGGGAGGCAUCUCCCUGCAAUUAAAGCUCCGGCGGUUAAAGAUGGGCAUGCGUGCCAUUAGCUAGUUGGUGAGGUAACGGCCCACCAAGGCUACGAUGGUUAGGGGGUCUGAGAGGAUGAUCCCCCACACUGGUACUGAGACACGGACCAGACUCCUACGGGAGGCAGCAGUGAGGAAUAUUGGGCAAUGGGCGCAAGCCUGACCCAGCCAUGCCGCGUGAAGGAUGAAUGCCCUAUGGGUUGUAAACUUCUUUUGUACGGGACGAAACUUCCGGUCGUGACCGGGAUUGACUGUACCGUGCGAAUAAGCAUCGGCUAACUCCGUGCCAGCCGCCGCCGUAAGAC